AAUGCGAGAGAGGAGGUUUUCGCCGGGAUCCAACUUGAGUAGGCGGCAGAAGAUGGCGGAGGCCGAAGCAGCACUUACUAUCUCAUGAAUGCAACUACGCGAGAAGGACGUGCACAAUUCAAACAUUUCUGGGAACUAUAAAGCUUUGUACAUGGAACUAUCAGCAUUUGAAUAAACAAUUAAUUAGCCUUGCGUGUAUAUGACGAUUCUUGGAAUAUGUGCUUGACUGAUGCUGAUGCAUUAAGAACAAAUUCAUUUGUUGAUACCACUGGAUUAUAGAUCAUGUUUCGAGCACAAUGUGCGCAUCACUGAAAAUUCGAUAGUACCAAAUUAUUUUGAGCAAUAAAGUACCUUUGGUUUUAUAAUAUAUUUGUACUAUCAACACAGCAAACGCUGAACAUCGCAGUUCUUCCAAAAAUUGGAGUAUUUUCCUCGCCAAAAAGACAAGCUUCUACAUUAUAGACGAAGGGUUAGAAAAAUAUAAGUAAUAAUAUCUCAUCGGACAUUUACACUUCUUAUCUGGAAUAUUGAAAAUAACUAGAGGUCAAAAAUAUCUGAGUGACAUUUGCUUUAAUUGCCUGCCAUCAGACAGUGUCAGUUCAUCGACGUUAUCUUAUGCUCUCGUCAACAAAUUUAAUUAUAUUAAACCUAUUGAAGUUCUACAUUAGUGCUAGGCGACUAACGAGAUGAAUACAUGUUUUGCUUUACACUUGCAUUUUAGUUUGUUUUUGUGUGACGCAGUGGCCCUACAGUGUGACCCAUAAAAGCGCACUUGAAUGGUGCCCUAAGCACAAUACCUGAGCAGCUGCUGUCCAGCGACCGGGAAAAUUGAGUGAUUAAUUCCUCGCAAGCCUCAGUAAGAUGUCUCCGGUGUACGCCUUUCCGAUUUUCGGGCUUCUCUUAGUGGCCAUGCUCAUGGGAGAAGGAGAGGCCUGCGCUAUUGCUCAAGAACUUGUGAACCAAGCGUGUAAUUUGAUCGGCCGGGAGGGACAAGCUGGCCUUAAAGAAGAAAACUGAGGAAAAUCUAAAGAGUUCCCCUGCCUGCAAGACUUCUUGCUCAAUGUCGAUUAAAUAAAACAGGUUGUACUGCAUGUCAACAAUC